AACUGCUCUUUAACAAUUUAUCAGACAAUCUGUGUGGGCACUCAAAGUGACAUGGAUUCUUAACGUCCUCGGACGAAAAAUGAAUACCAAGUCUCAAGAGUGAACACGUAAUUCAUUACGAAGUUUAAUUCUUUGAGCAUCAAACUUAAAUUGAAGAGUUUGAUCAUGGCUCAGAUUGAACGCUGGCGGCAGGCCUAACACAUGCAAGUCGAGCGGUAGCACAGAGAGCUUGCUCUCGGGUGACGAGCGGCGGACGGGUGAGUAAUGUCUGGGAAACUGCCUGAUGGAGGGGGAUAACUACUGGAAACGGUAGCUAAUACCGCAUAACGUCGCAAGACCAAAGUGGGGGACCUUCGGGCCUCAUGCCAUCAGAUGUGCCCAGAUGGGAUUAGCUAGUAGGUGGGGUAACGGCUCACCUAGGCGACGAUCCCUAGCUGGUCUGAGAGGAUGACCAGCCACACUGGAACUGAGACACGGUCCAGACUCCUACGGGAGGCAGCAGUGGGGAAUAUUGCACAAUGGGCGCAAGCCUGAUGCAGCCAUGCCGCGUGUGUGAAGAAGGCCUUCGGGUUGUAAAGCACUUUCAGCGGGGAGGAAGGCGUUAAGGUUAAUAACCUUGGCGAUUGACGUUACCCGCAGAAGAAGCACCGGCUAACUCCGUGCCAGCAGCCGCGGUAAUACGGAGGGUGCAAGCGUUAAUCGGAAUUACUGGGCGUAAAGCGCACGCAGGCGGUCUGUCAAGUCGGAUGUGAAAUCCCCGGGCUCAACCUGGGAACUGCAUUCGAAACUGGCAGGCUAGAGUCUUGUAGAGGGGGGUAGAAUUCCAGGUGUAGCGGUGAAAUGCGUAGAGAUCUGGAGGAAUACCGGUGGCGAAGGCGGCCCCCUGGACAAAGACUGACGCUCAGGUGCGAAAGCGUGGGGAGCAAACAGGAUUAGAUACCCUGGUAGUCCACGCCGUAAACGAUGUCGAUUUGGAGGUUGUGCCCUUGAGGCGUGGCUUCCGGAGCUAACGCGUUAAAUCGACCGCCUGGGGAGUACGGCCGCAAGGUUAAAACUCAAAUGAAUUGACGGGGGCCCGCACAAGCGGUGGAGCAUGUGGUUUAAUUCGAUGCAACGCGAAGAACCUUACCUGGUCUUGACAUCCACAGAACUUUCCAGAGAUGGAUUGGUGCCUUCGGGAACUGUGAGACAGGUGCUGCAUGGCUGUCGUCAGCUCGUGUUGUGAAAUGUUGGGUUAAGUCCCGCAACGAGCGCAACCCUUAUCCUUUGUUGCCAGCGGUCCGGCCGGGAACUCAAAGGAGACUGCCAGUGAUAAACUGGAGGAAGGUGGGGAUGACGUCAAGUCAUCAUGGCCCUUACGACCAGGGCUACACACGUGCUACAAUGGCAUAUACAAAGAGAAGCGACCUCGCGAGAGCAAGCGGACCUCAUAAAGUAUGUCGUAGUCCGGAUUGGAGUCUGCAACUCGACUCCAUGAAGUCGGAAUCGCUAGUAAUCGUAGAUCAGAAUGCUACGGUGAAUACGUUCCCGGGCCUUGUACACACCGCCCGUCACACCAUGGGAGUGGGUUGCAAAAGAAGUAGGUAGCUUAACCUUCGGGAGGGCGCUUACCACUUUGUGAUUCAUGACUGGGGUGAAGUCGUAACAAGGUAACCGUAGGGGAACCUGCGGUUGGAUCACCUCCUUA
rnacentral:rRNA from 1 species